rnacentral:rRNA from 1 species
GGGUUGUGAGGUUAAGCGACUAAGCGUACACGGUGGAUGCCCUGGCAGUCAGAGGCGAUGAAGGGCGUGCUAAUCUGCGAUAAGCGCCGGUAAGGUGAUAUGAACCGUUAUAACCGGCGAUACCCGAAUGGGGAAACCCAGUGUGAUUCGUCACACUAUCAUUAACUGAAUCCAUAGGUUAAUGAGGCGAACCGGGGGAACUGAAACAUCUAAGUACCCCGAGGAAAAGAAAUCAACCGAGAUUCCCCCAGUAGCGGCGAGCGAACGGGGAGGAGCCCAGAGCCUGAAUCAGCAUGUGUGUUAGUGGAAGCGUCUGGAAAGGCGCGCGAUACAGGGUGACAGCCCCGUACACAAAAGCGCAUGUGCUGUGAGCUCGAUGAGUAGGGCGGGACACGUGGUAUCCUGUCUGAAUAUGGGGGGACCAUCCUCCAAGGCUAAAUACUCCUGACUGACCGAUAGUGAACCAGUACCGUGAGGGAAAGGCGAAAAGAACCCCGGCGAGGGGAGUGAAAAAGAACCUGAAACCGUGUACGUACAAGCAGUGGGAGCACCCUUCGGGGUGUGACUGCGUACCUUUUGUAUAAUGGGUCAGCGACUUAUAUUCUGUAGCAAGGUUAACCGAAUAGGGGAGCCGGAGGGAAACCGAGUCUUAACCGGGCGUUAAGUUGCAGGGUAUAGACCCGAAACCCGGUGAUCUAGCCAUGGGCAGGUUGAAGGUUGGGUAACACUAACUGGAGGACCGAACCGACUAAUGUUGAAAAAUUAGCGGAUGACCUGUGGCUGGGGGUGAAAGGCCAAUCAAACCGGGAGAUAGCUGGUUCUCCCCGAAAGCUAUUUAGGUAGCGCCUCGUGAAUUCAUCUCCGGGGGUAGAGCACUGUUUCGGCUAGGGGGCCAUCCCGGCUUACCAACCCGAUGCAAACUGCGAAUACCGGAGAAUGUUAUCACGGGAGACACACGGCGGGUGCUAACGUCCGUCGUGAAGAGGGAAACAACCCAGACCGCCAGCUAAGGUCCCAAAGUCAUGGUUAAGUGGGAAACGAUGUGGGAAGGCCCAGACAGCCAGGAUGUUGGCUUAGAAGCAGCCAUCAUUUAAAGAAAGCGUAAUAGCUCACUGGUCGAGUCGGCCUGCGCGGAAGAUGUAACGGGGCUAAACCAUGCACCGAAGCUGCGGCAGCGAACGUAUCACCCAAGACAACUUUACGGAGUUGACGAUUGACGGAGCGAAGCGACGUCAAAGCGUUCAUUAAAGUCGAGUUGGCUUAGGGAUACGUUCGUUGGGUAGGGGAGCGUUCUGUAAGCCUGUGAAGGUGGCCUGUGAGGGUUGCUGGAGGUAUCAGAAGUGCGAAUGCUGACAUAAGUAACGAUAAAGCGGGUGAAAAGCCCGCUCGCCGGAAGACCAAGGGUUCCUGUCCAACGUUAAUCGGGGCAGGGUGAGUCGACCCCUAAGGCGAGGCCGAAAGGCGUAGUCGAUGGGAAACGGGUUAAUAUUCCCGUACUUGGUGUUACUGCGAAGGGGGGACGGAGAAGGCUAUGUUGGCCGGGCGACGGUUGUCCCGGUUUAAGCGUGUAGGCUGGUUUUCCAGGCAAAUCCGGAAAAUCAAGGCUGAGGCGUGACGACGAGGCACUACGGUGCUGAAGCAACAAAUGCCCUGCUUCCAGGAAAAGCCUCUAAGCAUCAGGUAACAUCAAAUCGUACCCCAAACCGACACAGGUGGUCGGGUAGAGAAUACCAAGGCGCUUGAGAGAACUCGGGUGAAGGAACUAGGCAAAAUGGUGCCGUAACUUCGGGAGAAGGCACGCUGACACGUAGGUGAAGUGAUUUACUCAUGGAGCUGAAGUCAGUCGAAGAUACCAGCUGGCUGCAACUGUUUAUUAAAAACACAGCACUGUGCAAACACGAAAGUGGACGUAUACGGUGUGACGCCUGCCCGGUGCCGGAAGGUUAAUUGAUGGGGUCAGCGCAAGCGAAGCUCCUGAUCGAAGCCCCGGUAAACGGCGGCCGUAACUAUAACGGUCCUAAGGUAGCGAAAUUCCUUGUCGGGUAAGUUCCGACCUGCACGAAUGGCGUAAUGAUGGCCAGGCUGUCUCCACCCGAGACUCAGUGAAAUUGAACUCGCUGUGAAGAUGCAGUGUACCCGCGGCAAGACGGAAAGACCCCGUGAACCUUUACUAUAGCUUGACACUGAACAUUGAGCCUUGAUGUGUAGGAUAGGUGGGAGGCUUUGAAGCGUGGACGCCAGUCUGCGUGGAGCCGACCUUGAAAUACCACCCUUUAAUGUUUGAUGUUCUAACGUGGACCCGUAAUCCGGGUUGCGGACAGUGUCUGGUGGGUAGUUUGACUGGGGCGGUCUCCUCCUAAAGAGUAACGGAGGAGCACGAAGGUUGGCUAAUCCUGGUCGGACAUCAGGAGGUUAGUGCAAUGGCAUAAGCCAGCUUGACUGCGAGCGUGACGGCGCGAGCAGGUGCGAAAGCAGGUCAUAGUGAUCCGGUGGUUCUGAAUGGAAGGGCCAUCGCUCAACGGAUAAAAGGUACUCCGGGGAUAACAGGCUGAUACCGCCCAAGAGUUCAUAUCGACGGCGGUGUUUGGCACCUCGAUGUCGGCUCAUCACAUCCUGGGGCUGAAGUAGGUCCCAAGGGUAUGGCUGUUCGCCAUUUAAAGUGGUACGCGAGCUGGGUUUAGAACGUCGUGAGACAGUUCGGUCCCUAUCUGCCGUGGGCGCUGGAGAACUGAGGGGGGCUGCUCCUAGUACGAGAGGACCGGAGUGGACGCAUCACUGGUGUUCGGGUUGUCAUGCCAAUGGCACUGCCCGGUAGCUAAAUGCGGAAGAGAUAAGUGCUGAAAGCAUCUAAGCACGAAACUUGCCCCGAGAUGAGUUCUCCCUGAGACUUUAAGUCUCCUGAAGGAACGUUGAAGACGACGACGUUGAUAGGCCGGGUGUGUAAGCGCAGCGAUGCGUUGAGCUAACCGGUACUAAUGAACCGUGAGGCUUAACCUUACAACGCCGAAG